GACGAACGCUGGCGGCGUGCUUAACACAUGCAAGUCGAACGGAAAGGCCCUGCUUUUGUGGGGUGCUCGAGUGGCGAACGGGUGAGUAACACGUGAGUAACCUGCCCUUGACUUUGGGAUAACUUCAGGAAACUGGGGGUAAUACCGGAUAGGAGCUCAUGCUGCAUGGUGGGGGUUGGAAAGUUUCGGCGGUGGGGGAUGGACUCGCGGCUUAUCAGCUUGUUGGUGGGGUAGUGGCUUACCAAGGCUUUGACGGGUAGCCGGCCUGAGAGGGUGACCGGCCACAUUGGGACUGAGAUACGGCCCAGACUCCUACGGGAGGCAGCAGUGGGGAAUAUUGCACAAUGGGCCGAAGCCUGAUGCAGCAACGCCGCGUGCGCGAAGACGGCCUUCGGGUCGGAAACCGCUUUCGCCUGUGACGAAGCGUGAGUGACGGUAAUGGGUAAAGAAGCACCGGCUAACUACGU
rnacentral:rRNA from 1 species